rnacentral:rRNA from 1 species
AUUGAUUUUAUGCUUGCAUAAAUGAUUUUUGGAUUCGGAGCGAGUGGCGAACUGGUGAGUAACACGUGGGUAACCUGCCCCGAAGCGGGGGAUAACAUUUGGAAACAAGUGCUAAUACCGCAUAAUUAGUUGGAACCGCAUGGUUCCAACUUGAAAGAUGGCUCUGCUAUCACUUUGGGAUGGACCCGCGCCGUAUUAGUUAGUUGGUGAGAUAAAAGCCCACCAAGACGAUGAUACGUAGCCGACCUGAGAGGGUAAUCGGCCACAUUGGGACUGAGACACGGCCCAGACUCCUACGGGAGGCAGCAGUAGGGAAUCUUCCACAAUGGACGAAAGUCUGAUGGAGCAACGCCGCGUGAGUGAUGAAGGUUUUCGGAUCGUAAAACUCUGUUGUUAAAGAAGAACAAGUGUUAGAGUAACUGUUAACACUUUGACGGUAUUUAACCAGAAAGCCACGGCUAACUACGUGCCAGCAGCCGCGGUAAUACGUAGGUGGCAAGCGUUGUCCGGAUUUAUUGGGCGUAAAGCGAGCGCAGGCGGUUUUGUAAGUCUGCUGUGAAAGCCCUCAGCUCAACUGAGGAAGUGCAGUGGAAACUACAAAACUUGAGUACAGAAGAGGAAAGUGGAACUCCAUGUGUAGCGGUGAAAUGCGUAGAUAUAUGGAAGAACACCAGUGGCGAAGGCGGCUUUCUGGUCUGUUACUGACGCUGAGGCUCGAAAGCAUGGGUAGCGAACAGGAUUAGAUACCCUGGUAGUCCAUGCCGUAAACGAUGAAUACUAGGUGUUGGAGGGUUUCCGCCCUUCAGUGCCGCAGCUAACGCAUUAAGUAUUCCGCCUGGGGAGUACGACCGCAAGGUUGAAACUCAAAGGAAUUGACGGGGGCCCGCACAAGUGGUGGAGCAUGUGGUUUAAUUCGAUGCUACGCGAAGAACCUUACCAGCUCUUGACAUCUUCUGCCAACCCAAGAGAUUGGGCGUUCCCUUCGGGGACAGAAUGACAGGUGGUGCAUGGUUGUCGUCAGCUCGUGUCGUGAGAUGUUGGGUUAAGUCCCGCAACGAGCGCAACCCUUAUUAUUAGUUGCCAGCAUUUAGUUGGGCACUCUAGUGAGACUGCCGGUGAUAAA